rnacentral:rRNA from 1 species
UACGGAGGGUGCGAGCGUUAUCCGGAAUUACUGGGUUUAAAGGGUGCGUAGGCGGCUAUGUAAGUCAGGUGUGAAAGUUUGCGGCUCAACCGUAAAAUUGCUUUUGAUACUGCAUGGCUGGAAUUAGGAUGAGGUCAGCGGAAUGUGGCAUGUAGCGGUGAAAUGCAUAGAUAUGCCAUAGAACACCAAUUGCGAAGGCAGCUGGCUAGACCUGGAUUGACGCUGAGGCACGAAAGCGUGGGGAGCAAACAGG